rnacentral:rRNA from 1 species
AUUGAACGCUGGCGGCAGGCCUAACACAUGCAAGUCGAACGAGUGGCGGACGGGUGAGUAAUGUCUGGGAAACUGCCUGAUGGAGGGGGAUAACUACUGGAAACGGUAGCUAAUACCGCAUACCAUCAGAUGUGCCCAGAUGGGCUUGGCUAGUUGGUGGGGUAACGGCUCACCAAGGCGACGAGCCCUAGCUGGUCUGAGAGGAUGACCAGCCAAACUGGAACUGAGAAACGGUCCAGACGCCUACGGGAGGCAGCAGGGGGGAAUAUUGCACAAUGGGCGCAAGCCUGAGGCAGCCAUGCCGCGUGUAUGAAGAAGGGCGUCGGGUGGUAAAGUACUUUCAGCGGGGAGGCGUUACCCGCAGAAGAAGCACCGGCUAACUCCGUGCCAGCAGCCGCGGUAAUUC